CGAAUCUCAUAGGUAAGCAUAGAUAAGCUAUCCUUGAAAAAUCGCAUAACGUGCGGUGUAAUUCGACUAACAACAUGGAACUGGAUCAAUAAUAGUAAUGCUAUGUUGGCUGUCAGAAAUAGGAAAUAAUUUCUACUAAGUAAAGCCUACGUAUGAAACAAGAUUCGCAGAUCUGAUUUAACAUUGUGCCUUAAUAGACACUUCGCACUACAUUCUCUCUAACAGUUUUUAGCUCGUGAUGGCGCGCAAAUACGAUCCAUCCAUCAGUAACGGAAAUAAAGUGUUGGCCACAAAUAUUUGUUUAAGCGACAAAGCGCCACCGCUAAAACUUCUUUGCAUCCGAGCCUUGCAUUAUUCAUUGACGUCUGCUCGGACCGCGCGUCGGCCAUUAUCAACAACUCAAAUGUGGCGUGUUGAUCUGAUGCUGGACCGCGUGCUCAAUUUCAAAUACACUCUGUCAUCGUGUUGUGUUUUUACGCGAGACUUCCCAUGCAAGAUGACUCAACUGAAACUCUGCAAGGAGCCAAUGAAAUAGUUGACCAUCUGACUGCAGGCACAACAUAAUCUUUUUUGUUUUGUGUUUCGUUGCUUGUGAUGACUUUCAUAUUGUAUAUGACAAGCCAACAAAUGGUGUGUGCAACUCGUUACGGAUACAUCUGUCUUCUGUAUAAAUUAAAAGAUCCGCGCUGCUAGGAUCUGUCGAUCCUUGCGCUCAAUCGAUUUAUUCAUUUUAUUGUUUGCUGUUGUAGUUUAUUUGUAUGUUUGACAUAAUCUGAUAUUAUCAUCUCUUGCUCUAUGCACUACAUUCACGCCUUAUCUCAUUCUUUAGAACCACCACCCACUUGUGCUAAUGAAUAUAUCGAAGUGGAGUGUCUGCAAAUAGAGGAAAUGAGAUGCGCGUGUGACCGACCGUUCGCUUGUUUAUGUUACGACUUACCAAAAUGGGUAAUAAUAUAAUGCAGUAGAAAUGGCAAUGGUGACGGAUGUGUGGGAAUAUCGUGUGACGGCAAAGCUGUGCGCUGGGAUCUUUGAAUCUUCUACGGUCGUUGCUUAUAUGGUUUCUGCAUCAAUAUGGUGUUAGUGCCUGAUAGGUUUUACAUGUGGAUUUUACUCAAUCGUAUUUUGUGUACCGGCGGGUAUGCGUCUAUGUCGAAAUCGAUCGGUCUACCAUAUAUCUAUAGUGAAUUGUCUCAUGUAUGAUGUUGUAAAUGAACCUGCGGCAUCUUUACCUAACGGUUCAGCCUCUUCGUAGACCCCGCGAUGGUUCAGUGAUAACGGGCAUAGAUAGACGCACUUUGUUGUCGGCUGAAGGGAAGGGGUAAGGGAGGCAGCCUAAUGCUACCUUGGGUACACAACGGCUAAUCAAGGUUGUACCGAGCAUAAAUAUUAAGAAUAAAGAACGAGUUGGUCAAAAUGAACUAAAAAGAACUAACCGCACGACCAAUGAUUAACUAGAAUAAUUAAGCGUCUAAAAUGCAUUAACCAUGUUUUUAUUUCUAUUGGCUGGAUUCCCGUGAUAGUUUUGCGGGAAAUUAUCUGUUUGUUAAUAUUAGGGACAUAGUCUAGGUCGAAGUUGGGCGUAGACACGCUUCGUUUUAUGGCGGGAGCCAGCUGUCUCAUGGGAUGUCUAACGAUGAUGCCGGUCGUAUAACUCGAAAAAAAAAAAAAAAAAAA
rnacentral:lncRNA from 1 species